rnacentral:tRNA from 1 species
GGUGGCUCAGAGGUAGAGUGCUUGCCUUGCAUGCAUGAGGUCUUGGGUUAAAUUCCCCAGCACCA